GAAACACCCCUAUCAGGCAGGACUUGCUUCAGUGGGGCUUUGGUGCUCACUGAGUCUACCCCUUGAGUGUGUCACU
rnacentral:pre_miRNA from 1 species